AUACGGAGGACGCGAGCGUUAUCCGGAUUCAUUGGGUUUAAAGGGUGCGCAGGCGGCCGUGCAAGUCAGCGGUGAAAGCCCGGGGCUCAACCCCGGAAGUGCCGUUGAUACUGCAUGGCUGGAAUGCGGUCGAGGCGGGCGGAACGUGGCGGGGAGCGGGGGAAUGCGUGGAUAUGCCACAGAACGCCGAUAGCGGGGGCAGCUCGCCAGGCCUGCAUUGACGCUCGGGCACGAAAGCGUGGGGAUCGAACAGGAUUAGAUACCCUGGUAGUCCACGCCGUAAACGAUGGGCGCUCGUCGUCGGCGGCAGACAGUCGGCGGCCAAGCGAAAGCGAUAAGCGCCCCACCUGGGGAGUACGGCCGCAAGGUUGAAACUCAAAUGAAUUGACGGGG
rnacentral:rRNA from 1 species